ensembl:lncRNA LINC00460 long intergenic non-protein coding RNA 460
CAUUAUUGACUCAGAGGGAUGAACGCCAGAUCCUGACUCACCGCCAGGACAUCGGAGGUACCCAGACAUUGUUAUGAAACUCCGCAUGUGCCCCUGGUGGACGCUGCUGGACCCAGCAUGCACACUUCUCGGCUAAGAGUCACCCUGGAUGAACCACCAUUGCCAGCGGGGAGCAUGUUGCAGCUUUCCCACGCAGUGGAUGAGAACGAAGGUUACGACCAUUGUGUGGGAGGCGUCUGUGUAGCAAUUGCUGGAAUCACUUGUGGCAUUGUAGAAAGACUGAGCGUGGGAAAGAAGACGCAUUCUGAAGUCACCCCGAUUUAUGUUAAAUUAUCACCUUGACUACUGCUAUAGAACGAAUGUUUAUGUCCCCCACCCAAAUUCGUAUGCUAAGACCUAAUAGCCAAUAAGAUAGUAUUAAUAGAUGGGGCCUUUGGGAGGUGAGUGGCUCAUGAGGGCAGAGUCCUCAAAACCAGAUAAGUGCCCGAAUAAAAGGGGCCCCAGAGAGAUCCCUUGCACCGUCUACCAUGUGAAGUGUAGAACACAGCGAGAAGGCCACCUAUGAGCCAGAACGUGGGCCCUCACCAGAACCCAGUUGUGCUGGCACCCUGAUCCUGGACUUCCAGCCUCCAAAAUGACGACAAAGAAGUUUGUUUUUCCUGAGCCAUCCACUUCAAAGUAUUCUGUCAUAGCUCCCCAAAUAGACUAAGACAUCUACUUAACCUUGGUCAAACGUUUAACCUUGGAGUCCACGCCUCUGAAAUGGUGACAAUAACACUGUGUAUUUCCUACUUUAUGAUCAGGAUUAAUAAAUGUAAUUUAUUAAUCAGAAAUUAGUAAUUUCUGAUUAUUAAUUC